GACGGGGGGGGGCAAGUGUUCUUCGGAAUGACUGGGCGUAAAGGGCACGUAGGCGGUGAAUCGGGUUGAAAGUGAAAGUCGCCAAAAAGUGGCGGAAUGCUCUCGAAACCAAUUCACUUGAGUGAGACAGAGGAGAGUGGAAUUUCGUGUGUAGGGGUGGAAAUCCGUAGAUCUACGAAGGAACGCCAAAAGCGAAGGCAGCUCUCUGGGUCCCUACCGACGCUGGGGUGCGAAAGCGUGGGGAGCAAACAGG
rnacentral:rRNA from 1 species